CAUGUCUUUUUGAAUUUAAUUUAAAGUCUAAUCUGCCCACUGAUUUAAAAUUAAAGGGCUGCAGUAAUUUGACUGUACAAAGGUAGCAUAAUCAUUAGUCUUUUAAUUGAAGACUUGUAUGAAAGAUUUGAUGAGAUAUAAACUGUCUCUUAUUUAUAAUUAAAAUUUAAUUUUUUAGUUAAAAAGCUAAAAUAAAUUUAAAAGACGAGAAGACCCUAUAGAGUUUUAUAAUUUAUAAAUUAAAAUAUUUAUAUAAAAUUUUAAUAUUAAAUUUUGUUAAUUAUUUUAUUGGGGUGAUAAAAAAAUUUAAAAAACUUUUUUUUAAAAAUUUUCAUAAAUAAAUGAAUAAAUGAUCUUGAAUAAUGAUUAAAAGAAAAAAUUACCUUAGGGAUAACAGCGUAAUAUUUUUUUUUAGUACAAAUAAAAAAAAAAGUUUGCGACCUCGAUGUUGGAUUAAGAUAAAAUUUAAAUGCAAAAGUUUAAAAUUUUGAUCUGUUCGAUCAUUAAAAUCUUACAUGA
rnacentral:rRNA from 1 species